rnacentral:ncRNA from 2 species
CCUAAAUGUGGGGGUCACGGUGCCCCGAUAGCGCAAGAUUCGGGAGCCAAGAGGGAAGCCGGUGCAACUCCGGCGCUGCCCCCGCAACUGUAAGCGGCGAGCCGCCGUCGAUAGCGUCACUGGUGCGAAAGCGCCGGGAAGGCCAGACGGAAGCAUUGACCCGCGAGCCAGGAGACCUGCCGCGACGCCGAAUUAAAC